GUGUCAGCCGUCGCGGUAAAACCAGCACCUCAAGUGGUCAGGAUGAUUAUUGGGCCUAAAGCAUCCGUAGCCUGUUCUGUAAGUUUCCGGUUAAAUCCAUUAACUCAACUAAUGGGCUGCCGAAAAUACUGCAGAACUAGGGAGUGGGAGAGGUAGACGGUACUCGGUAGGAAGGGGUAAAAUCCUUUGAUCUAUUGAUGACCACCUGUGGCGAAGGCGGUCUACCAGAACACGUUCGACGGUGAGGGAUGAAAGCUGGGGGAGCAAACCGGAUUAGAUACCCGGGUAGUCCCAGCUGUAAACGAUGCAAACUCGGUGAUGCCCUGGCUUGUGGCCAGUGCAGUGCCGCAGGGAAGCCGUUAAGUUUGCCGCCUGGGAAGUACGUACGCAAGUAUGAAACUUAAAGGAAUUGGCGGGGGAGCACCACAAGGGGUGAAGCCUGCGGUUCGAUUGGAGUCAACGCCAGAAAUCUCACCCGAAGAGACAGCAGAAUGAAGGUCAAGCUGGAGACUUUACCAGACAAGCUGAGAAGUGGUGCAUGGCCGUCGCCAGCUCGUGCCGUGAGAUGUCCUGUUAAGUCAGGUAACGAGCGAGAUCCCUGCCUCUAGUUGCCACCAUUACUCUCAGGAGUAGUGGGGCGAAUUAGCGGGACCGCCGUAGUUAAUACGGAGGAAGGAAGGGGCCACGGCAGGUCAGUAUGCCCUGAAACUUUGGGGCCACACGCGGGCUGCAAUGGUAGUGACAGUGGGUUCCGAAUCCGAAAGGUGGAGGUAAUCCUCAAACACUACCACAGUUAUGAUUGAGGGCUGCAACUCGUCCUCAUGAAUAUGGAAUCCCUAGUAACUGCGUGUCAUUAUCGCGCGGUGAAUACGUCCCUGCUCCUUGCACACACCGCCCGUC
rnacentral:rRNA from 1 species